CAAAGGCUUGGUCCUGACUUUACUAUCAACUCUAGCUAGGUUUACACAUGCAAGUCUCCGCACCCCUGUGAGGAUGCCCUAUCCUUCCUCCCUGGAAGUAAGGAGCAGGUAUCAGGCACAUCUUAAUAGCCCAUGACACCUUGUUUAGCCACACCCCUAAGGGAACUCAGCAGUGAUAAAUAUUAAGCCAUAAGUGAAAACUUGACUUAACCAUGGCUAAGAGGGCCGGUAAACUUCGUGCCAGCCACCGCGGUUAUACGGGGGGCCCAAGUUGAUAGCCAGCGGCGUAAAGCGUGGUUAAGAUCUAAGACUAUAAUAAAGCCGAAAGCAGACUAGGCUGUUAUACGCAUUCGAACAUGUAAGCUCGAUCACGAAAGUAGCUUUAUAUAACUGACGCCACGAAAGCCAGGGAACAAACUGGGAUUAGAUACCCCACUAUGCCUGGCCCUAAACAUUGAUAGUGCAUCACACUCACUAUCCGCCCGGGAACUACGAGCAAAACUUGAAACCCGAAGGACUUGGCGGUGCUUCACAUCCAUCUAGAGGAGCCUGUCCUAGAACCGAUAAUCCCCGUUUAACCUCACCUUUCCUUGCUUCCCCCGCCUAUAUACCGCCGUCGUCAGCUUACCCUCUGAGGGCUCUAUAGUAAGCAAAGCCAGCACUUACCCCACACGUCAGGUCGAGGUGUAGCGCAUGUAAAGGGAUGAGAUGGGCUACAUUUGCUAUUAUAGCAAAUUACGAAAGAUGCUUUGAAACCUUGCAUCCGAAGGAGAAUUUAGUAGUAAGCAGAAAGCAGAGUGUUCUGCUGAAUUUGGCCAUAGAGCGCGCACACACCGCCCGUCACUCUCCCCGAACAAAUCCUUUAAAUUAAAUUAGAAGUUUAAAACGCUAAGGGGAGGCAAGUCGUAACAUGGUAAGUGUACCGGAAGGUGCACUUGGACUAUAUUUAAGAGUAAAGCUAACUAAAUAGCAAUAAUUUAUGCAAAAAUGUCGUGCAGCACGAACUACUCUUCAUCUAGAACAACUUAAAUCUAGCAUAUAUCC
rnacentral:rRNA from 1 species